rnacentral:rRNA from 1 species
GAAACCGUUCCAGGGGUAAACCUGAGAAACCCCAAAAGUUCGAACGGGGAGAUUCAUCGUCGACAACGCUGGCUCCCGUUGGUGCGCGAAACCCCGCAAGGGGUGUCCGUUGCUUUUCCGAAAGGAGGGUACGGGCGUACGGCCAACGGCGAAUGUUCCGGCUAUGUAGACGUGCACUUCUCCUCUAGUAGGACGUCGCGACCCGUUGCGUGUCGGUCUACGGGCCGAGCGGUAGACCGUUGCGUCGCCUCGUGCGUACGCGACGGACCCUCGGUUUCCCGACCGGCUGCGCGACGGUAUUGUAGACGGUAUCGGGCCGCAACCAGUCUUAUCUUUCGAACGUGCGUCAGGCCCCUCGCAAGCUCGAUCAGUCGCCCUGUGGUACGGAUGAUAUUCCCGUUCACGGGCCUGCUCAGCUGUUGGCAGAGGGUGCCCUCGGACUGGCCAAGCUUUGAAAUACCGGUCGGCGACGCUAUUGCUUUGGGUACUCUCAGGACCCGUCUUGAAACACGGACCAAGGAGCCUAACAUGUACGCGAGUCAUUGGGAUGUACAAACCUAAAGGCGAAAUGAAAGUGAAGGUCGUCCUUUGCGUCGACAGAGGGAGGAUGGGCGCUGUAAAGUGCUCCGCACUCUCGGGGCGUCUCGCUCUCAUUGCGAGAAGAGGCGCACCUAGAGCGUACACGUUGGGACCCGAAAGGGGG